rnacentral:lncRNA from 1 species
CUUCCAACCGGUACACAGAGCGCUUCCAAGCAAAAAAUCUAAACACGGACUCAAAGCAAAAGAGGUAAAAAAAACCACCGGCGGUACAAGGAAAAACCGGAAACUGAUGAUGCCGUCAUUCAACAAUUCGCACCAGAGAUUACCGUCUCUUUUGCAUUCCACCAUGACCAUAUACAUCCACCUAACAGUGACCCGUAUAGAGAAGAAAGAUCGGUACCGGACAACCUCCAGAGGAGACAGAACCAUAACCGGAGCUGGUUUUUUUUUAACGAAAACAACACUUUACAUGUUUCAAAGCAUUAUUAGAACAGAAGCCACUUUGGUAAAACCAGUUAUUAAAAAGGGAAGAAUUGAGCAAAUAAUACCCUUUCUCACUGCAUAGUUCGCGUGACAUAUUUGCAUACUC